AGCUAAUACUUGCUUUAGCACUCUUGAUUAAGUUCUUGAGUGUGUACUUGUUAAGCCUUUUAAGAAAAAAGUUAUUAACUUAAGGAAUUAUAACAAAGAAGUAACACGUAAUGGAUCCGUCCAUUUUUAGUGUGUAUCAAUCGAGUUUCUGACCUAUCAGCUUUUGAUGUUAGGGUAUUGGCCUAACAUGGCUAUGACGGGUAACGGGGAAUUAGAGUUCGAUUCCGGAGAGGGAGCCUGAGAAAUAGCUACCACAUCUAAGGAAGGCAGCAGGCGCGUAAAUUACCCAAUUCUAAAGAAGAGAGGUAGUGACAAGAAAUAACAAUACAAGGCCAAUCUGGCUUUGUAAUUGGAAUGAUGGGAAUUUAAAACCUUCCCAAAACUCAAUUGGAGGGCAAGUCUGGUGCCAGCAGCCGCGGUAAUUCCAGCUCCAAUAGCGUAUAUUAAAAUUGUUGCAGUUAAAACGCUCGUAGUUGAAUUUCAAAGAAUCGAUAUUUUAAGUAGCACUUUGUAGAUUAAUCCACAUAACUGAUACUACGUAUCGACUUUGUGCGCAUUUUUCUACUUACGUGUUCUUUUAAUUAAAAUGAUUCUUUUUAAGAUCUUUCUUUUUUGCUUCGGCAUUUUAGGAGAUCUUGUUACUUUGAGUAAAUUAGAGUGUUCAAAGCAAACAGAUUAUAGCAUCUUUAUGCGUUUGAAUACUACAGCAUGGAAUAACAAAAUUGAACAAGUCAGAAUUUUGUUCUUUUUUCUUAUUUUGGCUUAGUUACGAUUAAUAGGAGUAGCUUGGGGGCAUUUGUAUUCAGAUGUCAGAGGUGAAAUUCUUAGAUUUUCUGGAGACAAACAACUGCGAAAGCAUUUGCCUAAAAUACUUCCAUUAAUCAAGAACGAAAGUUAAGGGAGUGAAGACGAUCAGAUACCGUCGUAAUCUUAACCAUAAACUAUGCCGACUAGGCUUUGGAUGAAAGAUUUUAAAAUAAGAGUUUUUUCUCUGAGGAGUUAAAACUCUUAGAUUGCUUCCUUCAGCGCCUUAUGAGAAAUCAAAGUCUUUGGGUUCUGGGGCGAGUAUUCGCGCAAGCGAGAAAGUUAAAAGAAUUGACGGAAGGGCACCACCAGGCGUGGAGCUUGCGGCUUAAUUUGACUCAACACGGGAAAACUCACUAGUUUAAGACAAGAGUAGGAUUGACAGAUUAAUAGCUCUUUCUUGAUUUCUUGGAUGGUGAUGCAUGGCCGUUUUUAGUUCGUGAAUAUGAUUUGUCUGGUUAAUUCCGAUAACGAACGAGAUCUUAACCUGCUAAUUAGCGGCAAAUACGAUAUAUUCUUAUGUGGAAUUGAAUAUAGUUGAUUUGCUUAUUUUGAAGAAAAUAUUGGGAUACGUAAAUGUAUCCCUUUCCCUUUUCUACUUAAUUUGCUUAUCAUACUAUUUCUUUUUUGCGUAAGAAUGUAUUUGCUUGAUUGUAAAGCUUCUUAGAGGAACGAUGUGUGUCUAACACAAG
rnacentral:rRNA from 1 species